rnacentral:lncRNA from 1 species
ACAGCCUCUUGAUGAACCGGAGGAAGUUUCUUUACCAAUUCAAAAAUGUCCGCUGGGCUAAGGGUCGGCGUGAGACCUACCUGUGCUACGUAGUGAAGAGGCGUGACAGUGCUACAUCCUUUUCACUGGACUUUGGUUAUCUUCGCAAUAAGCCCCUGUAUGAGGUUGAUGACUUACGAGACGCAUUUCGUACUUUGGGACUUUGA